GGAUGAGACCCAUGGACCACAGCGUGCUGAAAUGUUGUCUCUUCUCUCUACUCUUGCUAACAGUGUCUGCAGCAGACCCUCCAUCCAAUGCAGCCAUUUUAGCUAGUGAAAUGACUCCAGGCAAUGCAUCCAAUACAGGCCAAGCACCCAAUACAUCCACUAAUACAUCCAACACAGCCAGUACAAACCAACCAUCCAACACAGCCACUUCAUCCAGGGCAACGACACCCUCCUGUACAACACGUCGAUGUCUGGCCAGCAUGCUGAUUGCGAAAGAAGCUCUGAGUCAGCCACAGUCUCCAUCAUGCAUCUCAAAUAUCAGUGUGCCGUUAAUAGUGUAUGAAACUCUGUCUGUCGACACAAAAGAUCUCCGCUUCGAGAGUCAUCUGCAAGUUAUGUUGUCUUGGGAAGACCCUGAUUUAUCAUGGGACACAUCAGUCUAUCAUCAUGAUAUGGUGGUCCUGCCUGUCAGCAAAAUCUGGACUCCUGAACUCCAUGUGACUAAUGGAGUGCAAACAACGAUAAAGCACAGCAACAAGGAUUUACUGGUGCACAGCAACG
ensembl:lncRNA